rnacentral:rRNA from 1 species
CCUACGGGUGGCAGCAGUAGGGAAUAUUGCUCAAUGGGGGAAACCCUGAAGCAGCGACGCCGCGUGGGUGAUGAAGGAUUUCGGAAUGUAAAGUCCUUUGAUUAGAGAAGAUAAUGACGGUAUCUGACGAAGAAGCACCGGCUAACUACGUGCCAGCAGCCGCGGUAAUACGGAGGGUGCAAGCGUUACUCGGAAUCACUGGGCGUAAAGAGAGCGUAGGCGGGAUAGCAAGUCAGAGGUGAAAUCCUGUGGCUGAACCCAAGAACUGCAUUUGAAACUGUUAGUCUAGAGUAUGGGAGAGGGAGGUGGAAUUCUUGGUGUAGAGGUAAAAGACGUAGAGAGUAAGAGGAGUACUCAUUGCAAAGGCGACCUGCUAGAACAUAACUGACGUUGAUGCGCGAAAGCGUGGGGAGCAAACAGGAUUAGAUACCCGGGUAGUC